UACAGAGGUCCCGAGCGUUGUUCGGAUUCAUUGGGCGUAAAGAGCGCGCAGGCGGCUUGGUAAGUCGGAUGUGAAAUCCCGAGGCUCAACCUCGGGUCUGCAUCCGAUACUGCCCGGCUAGAGGUAGGUAGGGGAGAUCGGAAUUCCUGGUGUAGCGGUGAAAUGCGCAGAUAUCAGGAGGAACACCGGUGGCGAAGGCGGAUCUCUGGGCCUUACCUGACGCUCAGGCGCGAAAGCUAGGGGAGCGAACUGG
rnacentral:rRNA from 1 species